ensembl:lncRNA
GCCGGCUCGCCCGCCGGCCCGCCCGCUCGGCCCUCGCGCGGCUCUCCUCGCUUCUCCUCCCUUCUCCCCGGCGCUGCUCCCGCCGCGGCGCUCCCGUGGGCACCCGGCCGGCCGGCCGCGUUGGCCGGGGCCGCGUGAGGCGAACCACACGCCGUAGUCCCGACCCUCCCUGCAGGGAGCGUCCGCGUGCCAAGAGUCGCUCCUGGCAAGGCUCUCUGCACGCCCCGGUUUCACUUAGUCUCCACAGAGACUCUGAGGAGAUGCUCGGCAGAUGGCAGUUUUUAGUUUUUAAGUAGCAAACAGGGCAUUCCGACCCCCCUGAGAGUUGGCUCUCAUUUUCCUCCCAUUUUUUGUUCGCUCCGCUGAGGAAGGGAGCGUUUACUGAGCAUUUGCUAUGGAGCUCAGGCUGGCCUGGAACUCACAGUUGUAACUCGGGUUGGCCUUUUGUUUAGCCUGCUGCUUCAGCCUCCCAAGUGUUAUGACUACAGUGCACGCCACUGGGACCAGCACUAAGGACAGACAGUGUGAGGCCAACUGGGCUGCUACCCGUGCCACAGAAGUGUAGCGCCCGGGGACCGAAACAGUGCAGUGUCGGCUACAGGAAAGUACCAAGAACUGAGAUCCACCUGCCUCCACUAACAAGUGUUGGGAUUAAAGGAGUCCGCAGGGCUGAACAGGGUGGAGAGCUGCAUAACCCUGGCUGUCCUGGAACAAACUUCAUAGACCAGAUCAGACAGGCCUCGAACUCACAGAGAUCCAUCCGCCUCCGACUCCAGAGUGCUGGCGUUAAAGGUGUGCCCUGCUUUCUGUUGUUCCCUAGCAGAGCCUUCCAAUCAUUAAAGGUGAAAAAUUGUAAGCCUUUUUAUAUACCUUACACUGGACAAACACUCCAGCCUAGGAAUGUUUUGAUGAGUGAAUAAGUGAAUGGUGGCACACUUCAAUUACACGCGGUAUCAGUUCAGCUCAACACAUAUUAAAAUACAAAGCCAUCCUGUCCUGUGUGACAAGACACGGUCCAAGCUGUUACCUGUAGCACGAAUUCUAAUUGUUCUUAAUAAUGAAAACUCCGAGUCAGCUAUCAGUGAAAGCUGAAGAAUCAGAAAAGCAGAGUGGCCAGUCAUUAGAGUUCUUACCUCUACCAAUGAUCCUGUCCUCUGCAUCCUCAGAUUGACUGCUCAGAAUGCACUGAGCUCCUGUCUCCUCCUGCCUUAUAUUCCUCUCUCCACCCAGCUACAUGGCUCCUGUCUCCACAUCCCUAGUGCGGGAAUUACAGUCUGUUUCUGCACUAUCAUUAUGUACCACAGAGAGUAGUUUAUAAAGAACAGCCCUUUGUCACAGUUGACCACUGAGAUCUUCAAGAUCAAGACACUGGCUGUUCAGAAGACUGGUUGUUGUGUAACAGUUUCCUCCAAGAUUAAAAUAGUCUAUCCUGCAGGAAGCUCCUUAAGCUGGAAGGUAAACAACUCAAACUAGCUUCAGUAAGUCCCUGAAACUGACCAGAUUCGCUUAGGCCCCUCCUUGCCAGAGUGAACAAUUAAGUUGUCUGAAGUACCCCUCACCUCACAGGAGAGCAGACCAGCUACCUGGAAGCAGCAGAAACUAGCCAUCCUGCCUGGAAGAAAUUUAGACCAACUGAGGCAGCUGGAGGGACUCUCUUUAAACUGUUGCCUUGCCUGUAGACUGCAGUGUGCUCCAGGUUCCCAGCUUUGUGAGCUGUCACCAAUGCUGGGUUGGGCCUUGGUGAUGCAGCUGUCUUUGGGUCAUUUCUGUUCUGUAUUCCUAUAAGUAACUUCAAUAAAACUUAAUGGUUCGUCAAGUUGGACUUUGGUAUCCAUACUUUGGUGUGCCGUGGCUCCAUAUCUUGGGUGUGUAGACCUGUGUGUUCCGUGGUCCCAGGAAAGUUUUGUUAUACAACACUGGUAAGGGUCCACUUUCUGGUCCAUAGGCAUCCAUGUUCUUUCCCAUGGUAGGAGGAACAGGACGGUACUUUGGGGCCUCUAAAUAAG